rnacentral:rRNA from 1 species
UACGAAGGGGGCGAGCGUUGUUCGGAUUUACUGGGCGUAAAGGGCGCGCAGGCGGUCUUGAAAGUCAGGCGUGAAAGCCCCGGGCUUAACCUGGGAAUUGCGCUUGAUACUCUGAGACUGGAGUACGGGAGAGGAGAGUGGAAUUCCCAGUGUAGAAGGUGAAAUUCGUAGAUAUUGGGAAGAACACCAGUGGCGAAGGCGGCUCUCUGGACCGUAACUGACGCUGAGGCGCGAAAGCGUGGGGAGCAAACAGGG